rnacentral:rRNA from 1 species
GACGAACGCUGGCGGCGUGCCUAAUACAUGCAGGUAGAACGCUGAAGGAGGAGCUUGCUUCUCUGGAUGAGUUGCGAACGGGUGAGUAACGCGUAGGUAACCUGCCUGGUAGCGGGGGAUAACUAUUGGAAACGAUAGCUAAUACCGCAUAAGAGUAGAUGUUGCAUGACAUUUGCUUAAAAGGUGCAAUUGCAUCACUACCAGAUGGACCUGCGUUGUAUUAGCUAGUUGGUGGGGUAACGGCUCACCAAGGCGACGAUACAUAGCCGACCUGAGAGGGUGAUCGGCCACACUGGGACUGAGACACGGCCCAGACUCCUACGGGAGGCAGCAGUAGGGAAUCUUCGGCAAUGGACGGAAGUCUGACCGAGCAACGCCGCGUGAGUGAAGAAGGUUUUCGGAUCGUAAAGCUCUGUUGUAAGAGAAGAACGAGUGUGAGAGUGGAAAGUUCACACUGUGACGGUAUCUUACCAGAAAGGGACGGCUAACUACGUG